UCUCUAAGUACAAACAAGAAUGGCUCCCUAAGAUCAGAGGGUCUUGGGGAGACUUCCCGUAAAGCCACUAGAUGGCGUGAAAGCACUGCACUGGGCCGCCUCUCCGCCACUCUGCCCCGGGCGCCGCGAAGUUUGUGUUCGUGCUGAGAGCUCAGCGUUUAGUCAAAUUCAGUCCAACGAAUUUUGAUCCAAUGUUUCAACUGUCAUUUCUGAAGUUGAACAGGAAGGAAUGACUGAAGGGCAAGUAAUCACUCCCUGGUUGGAGGCUGACUUACUGUUGGCCAAGCAAGGACUGGAUCAUCUCUAACUGGACUGGUCAGUCACUGUGGGCAAUAGAGGUGCUCCUCGUGGAAUUUGCAAGUGGAGAAAAGAUACAAAAUCUUGGAAGCAGUGAGCAUAGUUAGGAGGCAAUGGCAAGAAUCCAGGCGAGAGAUGAUGGUACCUUGGACCAAGAUGACAGUGAUGGAGAUGUAAUUAAAUUCGGCUAGACAAGAAACAGAAAAUACGUAGCUUUGAGUACUUUGGACAAGCAUCUUAGGACCACGUGGGAACCAACAGAAGGGUUGAAUGGUCAAGCUCAUCAUCACCUGAUGCCAACCCAACGUCUGGACUGUCCGGUUACAUAACCCAAUAACUCCCCCUUGUUUAAGUGCGUUUGAGGAAGGUUUACUACUACUACUACUACUACUAUUAUUAUUAACCUAUAUUGUAAACACAUAUAGGAAACAAUUAAAUGUGACUUUGUGUUGUUCCUCUAGUCCCUGUAUGUAGUAUUUAGUGGGUGAACAUCCUCCCCCCACAGCACUUUGUGAAGACUCCAGAAGCCCCCUGGUUGCUCUGCUCACACUCAGGCAAUAGAAAAUUCUGCAGUCAUUUUGAGUCAUAAAACAGUGUCACUUGAGAAAUGUAGAGUCUCAAACGAGAGGAAAACGAUCAAGAGAAUGAGUGGAAUGGCUCUUACUUGGCUGCUGGGUGGUAAAGUAGUGUUCUGUCCUUCUGCUCUUUUGGGCCAGUCAUAUGUAUUAAUAGAAAGUGGACACAUCUGUGCGUUCUUCAUCAGGCCCCACUGGCCCUCCCUGGCCACAGCGUUCAUGACCACGAAAGGCAUGUUUCCUUGAGCUCACCUUUCUCUAUUCCUCAUCAGCUUCUGUUUCUCUGACCAUCCACACCACAGAGCUUUCUCGGUCAGUAUUCCAUCACCCUGUGACAGGAGCCUGAUUGACCCUAUUCGAAAUAACUUUUUAAUGUUAUAAAAUCACCCACAAAUAUGCAAAAGUUGUAAAACUAUUAACUCAUAUUUGAAAACAUUCGUUUGCCACUGAUUUUUAUUUUUUUAAAUCAUGAAGACAGUUAAACAUCAGUGCAAGUCUAAAUGGCCUGAAAAUUAAGGAGAAAAAAACAAAACAAAAAAAAAGAUUAAGAGAACAGGUAACUAAAACUAAAAACAGACCAAACUGCUUCAAGACCCACGGAAUGUGGCAAAUCUGCUCCCAUGGUUCACCCAAAUUAGCAGUACAUGAAAAAACUGAUAGCUGGGAAUAUUCAUUUUUAACCAGAUUGAAGUUUCAAUUUGCUUUCGAUGAAAUCCCCUGGCACAACCUGUGAGAUGGCUGUGUUCCUAGGUCCUCCACCUAUGCCCUCCCCACUUCACAAAGCUCCUGCUGUAGCUGUACCCUCCCUAGAGACAUUCCUUCCUCUGGACCACUACAAGUAGCUAUGGAAGCCCUGGUUAUUCCCCGAAACGUACGGUGCUGCUUACACGCAAACUUUCAGCAAAGUACUGUUAUCAUUCUAUCUCAAAUUUCUCCAGUCCAACAGCUAAAAUUUUCAACUGCCAAAAUCAAUACUGCUUUGAUUCUACUUGGGUAUCAGGUUAUUUCUGAAAGUGUAUUUUAAAUUUUUUCCUGAGGUACCAUGACCUUCUUCUGGACACCAAAAUGUGGCAUCUUGGCUCACAUCUAUUUUCAUCAUGUAGCUUGGUGGAUGUUAGCUGCGGACCCAGAACCUAAAACAUCCAUGGUGGUAGGAACAUAAAACCUACCAGCUCCCUUAUUUCUCUGGUCCUAUUGUGGUACAGAAACAGAAGUAAGAAAAGUAUGGUCAAUAUUCUUAAUUAUUUGUCAUGAAUGAAUAAUCAAUCCAAGUAAAAUAUUCAUUCCUCUACCUCUCAAUUUUAAGUAAUUAGAAUUUUGGGUAGAGUGCAAAUGUGUAUUUAGAUGUUCCAAUGGUGAUUCCUUUCUAAUCACAAGUCAGUAUAAUUUUCUUGGCCAAAGGACUAAGGAGGAAAGGAAACUAAGUGCUUGUUCUCCCCAGGGAUUUUAUAUUCUUAGAAAUACCCUUGCUGAAGUCUUACUAUUUAUUAUUGCCCUGCACUUUGUAGACCACCUAGUACCUCUCUCCCACGGCUCCCAUCUCACCAGGAGAAGGGUUCUCAAAGAAAUAUCCAUGAAAUCUCAGGGCAUUCUGAAGCCAUCCUUCCCCUCUCCCUGUUCUCCAUGCAUCAGCAUUUAUACUCCCUUGGCAGAUUUCACAAAAGGCUGCACACCAGGAGAGGGAAAGGUAAUGAUGUGUGUUUGUCUUAUGGGUGUGCUCACAUUUCAAACUUGUCUACAAUUCCAACAAAUGAAAGGAGUUGUUAAACCAUAACAAAAGCUAAAUAAAAAGAAAUGUUAAACUGUAAAAUGAAUAAAAACU